rnacentral:rRNA from 1 species
CUACGGGUCGCUCCAGUGGGGAAUAUUGCACAAUGGGCGCAAGCCUGAUGCAGCCAUGCCGCGUGUAUGAAGAAGGCCUUCGGGUUGUAAAGUACUUUCAGCGGGGAGGAAGGGAGUAAAGUUAAUACCUUUGCUCAUUGACGUUACCCGCAGAAGAAGCACCGGCUAACUCCGUGCCAGCAGCCGCGGUAAUACGGAGGGUGCAAGCGUUAAUCGGAAUUACUGGGCGUAAAGCGCACGCAGGCGGUUUGUUAAGUCAGAUGUGAAGUCCCCGGGCUCAACCUGGGAACUGCAUCUGAUACUGGCAAGCUUGAGUCUCGUAGAGGGGGGUAGAAUUCCAGGUGUAGCGGUGAAAUGCAUAGAGAUCUGGAGGAAUACCGGUGGCGAAGGCGGCCCCCUGGACGAAGACUGACGCUCAGGUGCGAAAGCGUGGGGAGCAAACAGGAUUAGAUACCCCCGUAGUC